GAUGAACGCUGGCGGCGUGCUUAACACAUGCAAGUCGAACGGAAAGGCUCCUGCUUGCAGGGGUACUCGAGUGGCGAACGGGUGAGUAACACGUGGGCGAUCUGCCCUGCACUUCGGGAUAAGCCUGGGAAACUGGGUCUAAUACCGGAUAGGACCACAUUUUGGAUGGUGUGGUGGAAAGUUUUUCGGUGUGGGAUGAGCUCGCGGCCUAUCAGCUUGUUGGUGGGGUAAUGGCCUACCAAGGCGUCGACGGGUAGCCGGCCUGAGAGGGUGUACGGCCACAGUGGGACUGAGAUACGGCCCAGACUCCUACGGGAGGCAGCAGUGGGGAAUAUUGCACAAUGGGCGCAAGCCUGAUGCAGCGACGCCGCGUGGGGGAUGACGGCCUUCGGGUUGUAAACUCCUUUCGCUAGGGACGAAGCGUUUUUGUGACGGUACCUGGAGAAGAAGCACCGGCUAACUACGUG
rnacentral:rRNA from 1 species